GGAGAAGGCUCAGGGUUUGAUGUUCUGGGUCAUUCAUUUGUACUGGUGAUAGUUACAAGUACCAUCAGAGUUAUAUAUUUAAAAUAAGUGGUUCAUGUUUCCUUUGGCUGCUCUUCAAAUCCUCUACCUCUCCUCAGGCCCACAAAAUGUGAUGUGGGUGCUGCAGUCUGACAAGAUUCCACAGACACUUCUGUGCCUGACAGUGUCUCAAGAGACAGAACUGGUAAGUGGAAAGGUCAAAGGCUGGGCACUGGAUAUGAGUGGGAAGAGGUGGAAGAUCUUCAAGGCACCUGUCAAGACAACUCCACUGAGUUGGAAGCUGAUCCUACUGAGAAGACUCUUCUAAGAAGACUGAGAAGAGGAGGCUCAGGGUAGACCUUAUUGCUCUUUAGAGUGACCAGAAAGAAGGUUGUAUGAGGUGGAGUUUGGCCUCUUCUCCCAGGUAACAAAGUUAGGGAUGAGAGGGAAUGGCUUCAAGUUGUACCAGGGGACAUUCAGGUUGGAUGUUAGGAAACAUUUCUUCUCAGUAAGAGCAGUGCUGCAGUGGCACAGGCUGCCCAGGGAGGUGGUAGUCACUGUCCCUGAAAGUGUUCCAGAAUCGUGUGGAUGUGGCACUGAGGGACAUGGUUAGUGGGCAUGGUGUGGA
rnacentral:lncRNA from 1 species